GCUGGCGGCGUGGCUAAGACAUGCAAGUCGAACGGACUAUACAAUUGAGUAAUCGAGAGUAUAGUUAGUGGCGAAAGGGUUAGUAAUGGAUAGGUAACGUACCCCGAGCUCCGGGAUAGCGUCUCGAAAGGGGCGGUAAUACCGGAUAAUAUCAUCAGCUAUUAAGGCUGAUGCUCAAAGAUUUAUCGGCGCGGGAGCGGCCUAUCUCUUAUCAGCUUGUUGGUGAGGUAAUGGCUCACCAAGGCUAAGACGGGUAGCGGGACUGAGAGGUUGACCCGCAACAUCGGGACUGAGACACUGCCCGGACCUCCACGGAGGGCUGCAGUAACGAAUAUUGCGCAAUGGGCGAAAGCCUGACGCAGCGACGCCGCGUGUAGGAGGAAGUCCCUCGGGAUGUAAACUACUGUCAGGGGUUAGAAAGUGCACUUCGGUGUAUUGAUCAGCCCCAGAGGAAGUCACGGCUAACUUCGUGCCA
rnacentral:rRNA from 1 species